UACGGAGGGUGCAAGCGUUGUUCGGAAUUAUUGGGCGUAAAGCGCGUGUAGGCGGUUGCCUAAGUCUAGUGUGAAAUCCCGGGGCUUAACUCCGGAACUGCACUGGAUACUGGGUGACUAGAGGGCGAGAGAGGAUGGUGGAAUUCCUGGUGUAGGGGUGAAAUCCGUAGAUAUCAGGAGGAACAUCAGUGGCGAAGGCGGCCAUCUGGCUCGUUUCUGACGCUGAGACGCGAAAGCGUGGGGAGCAAACAGG
rnacentral:rRNA from 1 species